UCAGGAUGAACGCUAGCUACAGGCUUAACACAUGCAAGUCGAGGGGCAGCAUUGGAGUAGCAAUACUCAGAUGGCGACCGGCGCACGGGUGAGUAACACGUAUCCAACCUGCCGCUUACUCGGGGAUAGCCUUUCGAAAGAAAGAUUAAUACCCGAUGGUAUAAAGAGUUCGCAUGUUCUCUUUAUUAAAGAAUUUCGGUAAGCGAUGGGGAUGCGUUCCAUUAGAUAGUUGGCGGGGUAACGGCCCACCAAGUCUACGAUGGAUAGGGGUUCGUGAGAGGAAGGUCCCCCACCAUUGGAACUGAGACACGGUCCAAACUCCUACGGGAGGCAGCAGUGAGGAAUAUUGGUCAAUGGACGAGAGUCUGAACCAGCCAAGUAGCGUGAAGGAUGACUGCCCUAUGGGUUGUAAACUUCUUUUAUAAGGGAAUAAAGUGAGGGACGUGUCCCUUUUUGUAUGUACCUUAUGAAUAAGGAUCGGCUAACUCCGUGCCAGCAGCAGC
rnacentral:rRNA from 1 species